rnacentral:rRNA from 1 species
CAGUAGCCGCGGGAAUACGGAGGAUCCGAGCGUUAUCCGGAAUUAUUGGGUUUAAAGGGUGCGUAGGCGGAUAGAUAAGUCAGUGGUGAAAGACGGUGGCUCAACCAUCGCAGUGCCGUUGAUACUGUUUAUCUUGAAUAUGGAUGAGGUAGGCGGAAUGUGGCAAGUAGCGGUGAAAUGCAUAGAUAUGCCACAGAACACCGAUUGCGAAGGCAGCUUACCAAGGCAAAAUUGACGCUGAGGCACGAAAGCGUGGGGAUCGAACAGGAUUAGAUACCCCAGUAGUCCCUGUCUCUUAUAC